GACGAACGCUGGCGGCGUGCUUAACACAUGCAAGUCGAACGGAAAGGCCCUGCUUGUGUGGGGUGCUCGAGUGGCGAACGGGUGAGUAACACGUGAGUAACCUGCCCUUGACUUUGGGAUAACUUCAGGAAACUGGGGCUAAUACCGGAUAGGAGCUCCUGCUGCAUGGUGGGGGUUGGAAAGUUUCGGCGGUUGGGGAUGGACUCGCGGCUUAUCAGCUUGUUGGUGGGGUAGUGGCUUACCAAGGCUUUGACGGGUAGCCGGCCUGAGAGGGUGACCGGCCACAUUGGGACUGAGAUACGGCCCAGACUCCUACGGGAGGCAGCAGUGGGGAAUAUUGCACAAUGGGCGGAAGCCUGAUGCAGCAACGCCGCGUGCGGGAUCACGGCCUUCGGGUUGUAAACCGCUUUCGCCUGUGACGAAGCGUGAGUGACGGUAAUGGGUAAAGAAGCACCGGCUAACUACGUG
rnacentral:rRNA from 1 species